GGAUGUGAGGGCGAUCUGGAUGUGACAUCUGUCACCCCAGCAGUUGAUUCUGCUGAUCUGGCUGGCUAGGCUGGUGUCGUCUUCCUCCCUCACUGCCCAUGUGCGUCCCUCCCAAAGCCGCAUGCUUGGUCGAAGAGGACUACCUUCCCCAAAUAGAGGAGGACCAGUCUUCAGUCAAGGGUACACAAGUAGCUGCGCUCCCCUACUAGAACCUCCAAACAAGUUCGCAAAUAAUUUCACUAUUAAUCAUCUUUCUUUUGCUAGCUUAAUGUAUCUUUUCUUAUGUCAUGCCUUGUAUAAAUGUACUUUGAAGUUGUUUCUGUGUAUUUUA
ensembl:misc_RNA 7SK 7SK RNA